UGUUCUCUAAAUAGGGACUUGUAUGAAUGGCCACACGAGGGUUUUACUGUCUCUUACUUCCAAUCAGUGAAAUUGACCUUCCCGUGAAGAGGCGGGAAUAUAUUAAUAAGACGAGAAGACCCUAUGGAGCUUUAACUACUUAGCCCAAAAGAAACAAAUUUCAUUGCUAAGGAAACAACAACACUCUUUAUGGACUAACAGCUUUGGUUGGGGUGACCUCGGAGAACAAGAAAUCCUCCGAGCGAUUUUAAAGACUAGACCUACAAGUCGAAUCACACAAUCGUUUAUUGAUCCAAAAAAUUGAUCAACGGAACAAGUUACCCUAGGGAUAACAGCGCAAUCCUAUUCAAGAGUCCAUAUCGACAAUAGGGUUUACGACCUCGAUGUUGGAUCAGGACAUCCCGAUGGUGCAACCGCUAUCAAAGGUUCGUUUGUUCAACGAUUAAAGU
rnacentral:rRNA from 1 species